rnacentral:rRNA from 1 species
GACGUAGGGCGCGAGCGUUGUCCGGAUUUAUUGGGCGUAAAGAGCUCGUAGGCGGCUUGUUACGUCGACUGUGAAAACCCGCGGCUCAACCGUGUGGUCUGCAGUCGAUACGGGCAGGCUAGAUUUCGGUAGGGGAGACUGGAAUUCCUGGUGUAGCGGUGAAAUGCGCAGAUAUCAGGAGGAACACCGGUGGCGAAGGCGGGUCUCUGGGCCUGUACUGACGCUGAGGAGCGAAAGCGUGGGGAGCGAACAGG